CGGCGUGCCUAAUACAUGCAAGUCGAGCGGACUGAUGGGAGCUUGCUCCCUGAAGUCAGCGGCGGACGGGUGAGUAACACGUGGGUAACCUGCCUGUAAGACUGGGAUAACUCCGGGAAACCGGGGCUAAUACCGGAUAGUUCUUUUCCUCGCAUGAGGAAAAGUGGAAAGGCGGCUUCGGCUGCCACUUACAGAUGGACCCGCGGCGCAUUAGCUAGUUGGUGAGGUAACGGCUCACCAAGGCAACGAUGCGUAGCCGACCUGAGAGGGUGAUCGGCCACACUGGGACUGAGACACGGCCCANACUCCUACGGGAGGCAGCAGUNGGGAAUCUUCCGCAAUGGACGAAAGUCUGACAGAGCAACGCCGCGUGAGUGAUGAAGGUUUUCGGAUCGUAAAGCUCUGUUGUUAGGGAAGAACAAGUGCCGUUCGAAUAGGGCGGCGCCUUGACGGUACCUAACCAGAAAGCCACGGCUAACUACGUGCCAGCAGCCGCGGUAAUACGUAGGUGGCAAGCGUUGUCCGGAAUUAUUGGGCGUAAAGCGCGCGCAGGCGGUCUCUUAAGUCUGAUGUGAAAGCCCACGGCUCAUCCGUGGAGGGUCAUUGGAAACUGGGGGACUUGAGUACAGAAGANGAAAGUGGAAUUCCACGUGUACUGRUGAAAUGCGUAGAUAUGUGGAGGAACACCA
rnacentral:rRNA from 1 species